GAUGAACGCUGGCGGCGUGCCUAAUACAUGCAAGUCGAGCGAACGGACGAGAAGCUUGCUUCUCUGAUGUUAGCGGCGGACGGGUGAGUAACACGUGGAUAACCUACCUAUAAGACUGGGAUAACUUCGGGAAACCGGAGCUAAUACCGGAUAAUAUUUUGAACCGCAUGGUUCAAAAGUGAAAGACGGUCUUGCUGUCACUUAUAGAUGGAUCCGCGCUGCAUUAGCCAGUUGGUAAGGUAACGGCUUACCAAGGCAACGAUGCAUAGCCGACCUGAGAGGGUGAUAGGCCACACUGGAGCUGAGACGCGGUCAAGACGCCUACGGGAGGCAGCAGUAGGGAAUCUGACGCAGUGGGCGAAAGCCUGACGGAGCAACGCCGCGUGAGUGAUGAAGGUCUUCGGAUCGUAAAACUCUGUUAUUAGGGAAGAACAUAUGUGUAAGUAACUGUGCACAGCUUGACGGUACCUAAUCAGAAAGCCACGGCUAACUACGUG
rnacentral:rRNA from 1 species